UACGGGGGGAGCAAGCGUUGUUCGGAUUUACUGGGCGUAAAGGGCGCGUAGGCGGCGCAACAAGUCACUUGUGAAAUCUCCGGGCUUAACUCGGAACGGUCAAGUGAUACUGUUGUGCUAGAGUGCGGAAGGGGCAACUGGAAUUCUCGGUGUAGCGGUGAAAUGCGUAGAUAUCGAGAGGAACACCUGCGGCGAAGGCGGGUAGCUGGGCCAACACUGACGCUGAUGUGCGAAAGCUAGGGGAGCAAACGGG
rnacentral:rRNA from 1 species